GAAAAGCAUUUUUCAAAGUCUCUGUGUGUUCAGCUCUCAGUACUUGCGUAGCUUCCACCUGAAUCUCUGUCAUUUGGAGUUUGGUUUCUCUCCUACAUCCUGUUUUUACUUUAGAUAUCUGCUUUAUUUAACUGUUUCCUGUUCACUUUCAGCUGUACAGAACUCUGUUAAGUUACUGCUGAUGACAUAAGUGUACUUUUUUUUUUUUUAAAGAUAUUUUUUGGGCAUUUUUAAGCCUUUAAUUGAUAGGACAGCAAGUGUGAAGGGGGGAGAGAGAGAGAGGGAAUGACAUGCAGCAAAGGGCCACAGGCUGGAGUCGAACCAGGGCCGCUGCAGCAACAGCCUUGUACAUGGGGCGCCUGCUUUACCACUGAGCCACCGACGCCCCGACACAAGUGUACUUGGGUAUGGAACAACAUCGCUAAUGUGAAAGCUGAGUGGCAGGGCGUCAUGGUUGCUGUACGGCUUUCUCCAAAGUCCAUGCUGUGAACCACAUCAUAAAAAGAGGAGGGGCGGUGCAGUGCCGGCGGCAGGGCAUCACCGAAGGGUGCACCAUCAAUGCUGUUGUACUGCAGUGGAAACGUCGCCACGUGUGUGUGGACUCAACACCUCACAAGAUGCGGAAACUUCUUGCAACUUUGUGAUAACAUACACAUGGGCACAAACACACAAACACAUACACAGCUGAUUAACAAUCAAAAAAUGUAUAGCAACAAAUACUUUCUGCAGCUCUUAAACUGUCUCAGCUUUCCAUUUCAGAAGUACCAACCCACAACCUUCCCACUGUUAAAAAUACUCACAGUCAAUGUGACACAGUGGCCAGACAGCUUCAUGGCGUCAAAAGGCCUCUAUUUGGAGUGGCUGGGUACCCAUCCCGCCGGGGGUUACUGCUCACUGUUAUGAAUGUUAGCUUUGUGAUUACGUUAGCUGCUGAGCAAAAGGCUAUCGCCAUGCAAACGAUCUCUUACCCGGUGUGUGUGUGCUGUUCUACUGGCUUAGCUGCUAAGAGGCUGUUGCUGCGCAGUGGCUUGUUCUUCUUGGGGGUCAUGUAUGUUACUGUGUCUCUGGCUUAGCUCCUAUCAAGAGACAAUGGCUUAGCAAUGGCCUGAUCUUCAAAUCAGCUCCCUCUGCGGACAUACAUCCAGCAUCUCAGAGCAGAUAACACUGCUCAUUUUUUCCCCCAGAUUUUGUCACCUUGUUUUAUAUACCUAUAAUUACGUAUAUAGCCAUAUAUACCCAUAGCAAUUUUUUAGAUCAUUUAAAUUUGGCUGGGUGGUUAAUAACACAUUUUUCUACAGAAGGUUUCCUAACUACAGAAAGCUUGUUAAGUAAAAACUCAAAACAGUUUAUGAAUUUAUGAAACAUAGCCACAGUCUUGAGGUGUGGUUACCUGUGCAGAUGUAAUACCGCACAAGCAAAUGCCAAGAUAUUCCAAAUGGAAACAAGCUCACCAAAACAAAGCAUAUCUUAACUGUCUAUUGUUUCUACUUUUAAACUGACACACACCUUUAUCCCUUAAGCAACACAAAAAAUUACGAAACCAUGAACUUCACAAUAUGCUGCCAAAACGUGCCAAGUAAUGCAGGCCUACUGGUUUUGUGUUCCUAUCCAGCAGCAACAGAAAAACCCACAAGGGAAAGAGCAACAGACACCUAUGCAGGAGGAAGACCAAAAUCUGAACAUCCCGACCACAACUGCAGACAACCAGUCUGUCGUGUUUGUCUUCUGUUACUACAAACUGAAGAGUCAUUCCCUUUCUGAAACUGUGUCUCGGUGUCUGUCAAGAAACAUGCUACAAAAGAUAUCUGCUACUAAUGCAAGAAAGACAGAGUUGCUCGUAAGCCGACCACCACAGACACAAAGAUUAUAGAAGCAGAUUGAGAGAGAGCCAACCCUUUGUCUCUCGCAAACUCAGAUCAAACUCCGAUCAAAUGGGCUGUAUUACCUAUUUCUUACAUAAAUGUCUUUAUAAACAUAUUUUAGUGCAGUGUUUGGCUGUAAAACAAGACUUUGUGAACAGGAAGUGAACACCAUUGUAUUGUAUUGUAAAAAUGGAGGAUGAAAAUACUGAGAUCAAACGGUAAAACUUAGCAGUGCUGAUCAACUACGAACCAAGACUCUGUUACUGCAUGUUAGCUAAAAUAGGUUUUGGAAACUGUUUCCUAUGUCAAAACAAACAAACUCGCAUUACAUCAUCCACCAGCAAGAGUGCUUAUUGACAGAGCAUUCUGGUUGUUUUAGGUUUCCAUUUUUAGGUUUUAGUUACCUCUGAGCAAAAGUGAAUGUCACGGCCCUUUUUUUUUUUCCUUCUUCUUCUUCUUUUUUUUUUUUUUUUUUUACUGGUCAUGUAGCAACAAUUUCAAAAUUAUUUGCAUCUACUAUGCCACCAAGGCCCUAUGUUCCCAUUGUACUAAGUUCCCAAGGUUCUUUGUUCCCAAGGCCCUAUGUUCCCAGGCUCCAUGUUCCAAGGGUCCUAAGUUCCCAAGGUUCUUUGUCCCCACAGUCUUUGUUACCAAGUUACAAACAUUAACCCUCUGACUGCGUUUGGGUCAAUUAUGAUGCGUUUUUAGUUGAAAUAUUUUGUAAAUAAAAUAACCUGACCCUUAAUCUCUUUCCUAAUCUUAACCUGUUUGGAAAUAGCAAAAGUCAGCUUCUAUAGAUUUCCUAACCCAAAAAUAUAAUCAUUAUUUUUCUUCUUCUUAUUUUUUUUUUUAUCUUUUACUUUUCUUCUUUUCUCUUUUAAUUAGUUAAUUAGUUGGUUGACUCAUUGUCAUAAUUUGAAAUUUAGGGCUUAAGUAUAUUUGGGAGUUGUUUUCAAAUAGGACCUUGGGAACAUGGGACCCUGAAAAGAUAGGACCAAGGGAAAAUCAGACCUUGAGAACACUGGGACUUAGGACCCUGGGAGCAUGGGACCCUGGGAACAUAGCAUCCUGGGAACAACGUAGGCCCCUGGGAACAUAAAACCUUGGGAACAUAGGACAUUGGGACCCUGGCAACAUAGCACCUUGAGAGCAUAGGACCCUGGCAACAUAGCACCUUGAGAGCAUAGAACCUUGGGAACAUAGGCCCCUGGGAACAUAAAACCUUGGAAACAUAGGACAUUGGGAAUAUAGGACUCGAGGAACAUAGGACCCUUGGAGCAAAGGACCCUGGGAACAUAGCACCCUGGCAGCAUAGGUCCCUACCAACAUAGGACCCUGAGAGCAUUGGUCCCUAGCAACAUAAGGCCCUGGAAACAUAGGACCUUAGGAACAUAAGACCUAGGGAACAUAGGACCCUGGCAACAUCGCACCCUGAGAGCAUAGGACAUUGGGAACAUAGGACCCUGGGAGCAUAGGACCUUGGGAACAUAGGACCCUGGGAUUAUUGGACCUGAGGAACAUAUGACCCUGGGAGCGUAGGACCCUGGGAACAUGAGACCCUGGGAGCAUAGGACCCUGAGAACAUAAGAUCCUGGGAACACAGAACCUUUGAACCACAGGACUGUGGGAGGAAUGUGCCAACACAGCUGACUCCCUCAAUUAUAAUCACAUGUCUAACUCUGUCCUCAUUGUUUAUUUUAACUCCUCUGUUUAUGAGCUGAAAGAAUGCAGUAAUUUAUUCUGCUGUCGUCAUCGAGGUGAACAUUGGCACUGUAACAAUCAAAGUCACUUCAAUCAUUAACUGCAAUCAAUCCGUUGUGUCUGGAUGUAAGUAUAUACUGCAAGGACUCCUGACGUACAAACCUAAUUACAUGCAGAUGUGGUAACAAAGAAAACUCAACAGCAUUGUCAUAAGACAUUAAUUUAAACACAAUAAUUAAAAUUGAUUUUAAUAAUUACAUGUAUUGGGAACUUUUGUAGAAGGCGACUAAUGCCUUUGACGUGAGGAUGACAAUCAAAGGCAUCCUGUUUUUGACCAGUAAUUACAGUCUAGAGUAAGAAUUGAAUGGGAUAGUUUCCAUAUUGUUUAUAUGUUCUGCAAUCAUGCAUGCCCAUGACAAAGGCCUGGUGAUGUUGAAAUACACUCUGCUAACUGCAGAGAGCAGCAAGUUAAAGGUGGUAAUGUGCAGCAAAAUGCAGCAAAAUGUGUGAACAAAAUAAGAAAAUUGCAAGUAGAUGUAGAUGAAAUAGACUGUGCAAAUGCUUUAAAGACAGGAAACAUUUGAUUUGUUUGUUUAGCCUUAUGAAUAGCUCAACAUUAGUUCAAACAAAGUUAUAGGUUAUCAAAUAGUAAAAAGACAGACUAUUUGUAGACUGUUUCUUGCUACUGGCUAAGAUUAGGCUUAUCUACAACAUAAGUCCUGUAAAAUGAAAACAUGUCAUUUUUACACAUCAGUUUGAGAACAUAUUAAACAAAUGUGUGUUUAUUUGUGAGUUUUAGAGGUUCAGUUACCCUUGGACAGAGCCAAUCAAGCUGUUUACCUCUGCUUAUGUUAAGCUAAGCUAGCAGGCUGCUAGCUAGAUAAGAUAUACCUUUGAGUUAUGUGUUUCAAAUCUGUGUUUUAUUCCUGUUUAAUUGCAACAUAUAAAUGUAAGAACAGUUUACAUUUCUGUAAA